rfam:Xenopus laevis strain J chromosome 6S, whole genome shotgun sequence.
AUCGCUUCUUGGCCUUUUGGCUAAGAUCAAGUGUAGUAUCUCUGGAGAAACACUUGAUUCUCUGGCCAGGGGCUGAAGCUUCAUGAAAGUCCGGGGUAUUGUGCCCCUUAAGGGGGUGCUUGACUCAUGACUGGGUCAAGCACAUCUGCACAAUGCUUUUUUUAGCACUGAUUUAUACACUUUUU